rnacentral:rRNA from 1 species
UACGUAGGGUGCGAGCGUUGUCCGGAAUUACUGGGCGUAAAGAGCUCGUAGGUGGUUUGUCGCGUUGUCCGUGAAAACUCACAGCUUAACUGUGGGCGUGCGGGCGAUACGGGCAGACUGGAGUACUGCAGGGGAGACUGGAAUUCCUGGUGUAGCGGUGGAAUGCGCAGAUAUCAGGAGGAACACCGGUGGCGAAGGCGGGUCUCUGGGCAGUAACUGACGCUGAGGCACGAAGGCCAGGGGAGCAAACGGG